UCAAGUUAUAAAUUGUGGGUUGAUCCUAAUAGUAUAAACAAAUCAAAGGAUCCAAGAAUUACAUAUAACGAAAACAAAAUUCUUUUUUGAGUUUCAUCCCUUCUAUAUAUGGCUUGAAUCAUUAAACAUAUUGUAACAAUAUGCAUUUUUUUGGGUUAUUACCAAACAAUGCCUAUUGAUGGAGAAACAAUCAGAGCACCACCUCGCUAUAAGGUGGUUAAUGUCAGCUCUUUGGAGCCAAAACCCUACUGCCAGAGGUCAACCUCAGGUAUAUUUAUUAAUUAAUCAGUAUGUGUGUGAUGGUAUGGAAUCGCAUCGUUCCCAAUAAUAUGUUCACUCAACGGGAUUAGCUUUGUCGAGCUAGUCAUGAACUCUAGUAUUUUUAUUGUAACAAUAAUAAAGCCUGUGGCAUACCAUAAGACAAUUAUUUUGGUAGUGUUAUUGCAGAUAGAUUUAUAUUAACUACAUUUAUAUUCAGAUUAAUGAUCAGCUACGAAUAUCUUGGUUACGAACUUUAGAAAAUAUAAUUUUAUUAGAAAAAUUAUUAAAAGAAAAUAUAGAAGAAUAUCAAAAAAUUCAAGAUAUCCUAUACUUAGAAUACACGAGAGAAAAUAUAAAAGAAAUUUCAAGAUUAAUUCCGCUAGCCACAAAAUAUUAUGAAAAAAUAUUUAGAAUAAACUAAGGGACCCCACCGAACUGUUGAUUUCGACUACUCACCUGGUCUUCAAUAAAAUAAAAUAAAUUUGGGGUAAAUAUCUACCUUUUUAGAUGGAGACAAUUUCCAUAAUACGAAUAUUAUUUCUUUUUCUUUUCUUCACUGUAUUAAAUUCGAUCUCCUUCAACAUGAAUAUGUCAUACGUCAAUAGAGCUAAUUCAAUUAGUUAUGUUGAGACCUAACUAUAGGAAGUUAGACUUCAGCUCUCACCAAUUUACGUCAUGAAGGAAGGAUGAGAUAAUCGUAUUCGUAGCCUCUAUAUCUUCUGUCUCACUAUUUUGUUCUUGAUAAAUAAAUAAAUAAAUGACAUGAAACUAUAAUUUUCUUCUUAUAUGGUAAAAGAGAAAAUUAUUCAGUUUGACCUUUCAGAGUAAAAAUGCUAUUAAUAUUAGCCAAAUGCCAUCAAUAUUAGCCAAAAUUAACUAUUUAUAUUUCUUUUCCUCUCACGAGUCUAUUUCCCCUCUCUCCCUUUUUUAUGUAAACAUGAAGUAAGGUAGUAGAUAAGAAACAAAAUCCGUAAAAUUAAUUAGUAUUUUCCAUCUUAGUUUCACUACAAUCUAACCUUUCACUUUCUUUGAGAAACAAGUUAUGCCUAAUUCUUUAAUAAUGUUGUUCAUCUGAUUUCACAAGAGUGAAACUUUCUCUUCUUUCAUAAAUAAGAAAAUUCAUAAUUUUGUAGAUUAAUUUAUGAUCCAUUUAAAAGGUGGAUCUGUACUAGAACAAUAUCUUUAAACUCCAGCUAAUAUUCAUAACCAUUUUGGCUAUAUAUAUAUAUACACAUAUUAAUGCGCUUUUUCGGCUAUAAUUUUUUCACAACAUGAGAUAAUUUUUAGUGAAAUCCUUUUUACUGGUUAAUAAACAGACCCAGCUGGUUUUGGUGGUCUUCAGCUGUCGUAGAACAUGGAGUAAGAUUAGGUUGCUUUAGCUCUUAAUUAUUGUGUGGUAUAAUAUUGACAAUAUCAUAUGGCAAAUAGAGCUUUGUUUUGGACAAUUGGUGUAGACUUUUCGUUUCACUAUGAUUUCAAUUUUUGGUGUCAAUACGAGACGGAGGAAUUCAUUUAGUAUUUUAUGCAAGAUAGAAGCAACACAUGAACUAAACCAACUAAAAUGACAAAGCACUCUCAUGAUCUUCAAAAUUAAUUUCUUUAAUAUCUAACAAUAAGUAAUCUCUCAUUAGUUAUGACCCACAAUUCUGCCAUUGUCAUGAUGACAUCUAACUCAACCCGUUAGAUAAGCCAAAUCAUAUAGUUACUACUAUAACGAGAAAACAUCACUAUUAUAAAUAAAAACUGCAAUAGAAUUUAAUACAACUACCCUAAGGUCUGAUAGUACAAGUCAUGAGCCACUAUAAUUUGAUUUUACAAAACUGGUGAAAAGAAUAAAUACAACAUCUGUUUGUAAGUUACAUAAACAGAAGUACUCCUAAGCUACCGUGAACAAAAGGUAGCAUGAACACGGUACUCUGGCACGUCUCCAAUGUAAAGCUCUGUCUUCACAGUUUCUCAGCUCUAAAAUCUGCACGCAAGGUGCAGAAGUGUAGUAUGAGUACAACCGACCUCAUGUACUCAAUAAGUAUCUUGACUAACCUCAGAGAAAUAGUGACGAGGUUUUAGGUCAAAAGAUACUACUUGUCAAAUAACAUGUGCAAUAUAUCAAAGACUAACAAGAAAAAGUAUAGCAGAAAAACAAUUACUAUAAUCUCCUCGUGUGAUUACCAAAAGGUCAUCACCUGUUUUAGAAAUAAACUCUGUGUACCGAGGCCUUAAAAACCUCUUUCUUUCUCACCUCGACUUACGUGCGUGGUAUAUCUGGACAGCCUUCUAUGUGAAAAUAUGAGAAAUAGAAAUUUCUAGAGUUAAAAUUUAAUUAUGGUUGACUUUGGUCAAUAUUUUGAGCAAACGGACCCGGAUCUGUAUUUCGACGAUCCUGAAGGUUCGCAGUAAAAUAUGGGACUUGGGCGUGCCCGAAAAUGAAUUCCGAGGUCCCAAGCCUUAGAAAUCAAUUUUUGAAAGAAAUUGUUUUACUAAAUUAUCUAAGAAAUGAAGAAAAGAAUUAAUGUUUGAAACCAUUGAUAUCGGGUCUGUUUGGUUCCGGUGCUCGGUACUAACUUGUUAUAGUAUUUAAAUAUAAUUGUGAAAUUUGGUGGAAAAUGGAGUUUAUUUGACGUGAGUUGGACUUCCGGUUGAAGAGUUAUGAACUUUGAGUGUUCUUGAUGAAAAUGUUGAAUUUUGAGGUUUAGUUCAUGGUUUUACAUGUUAUUUUGAUUAUGUGAUCACACGAAUAGGUCCAUAUGAUGUUUUUGAGUUAGUAUGCAUGUUUGGUCUGAAGUCCUGAGGGCUCGGGUGAGUUUCAGGUAGGUUUCGGGAUGUUUUAGGCUUAAAACAUAGCUGUUGCAAGUUCAGAGAAGUUGCAGAUCUCUGAACCCGCCAGUGCGGUCCGCAAUGAUUUUGUGCUGCCGCGGAGGGGCCUAUGCGGCCGCAAAGGAUUUUGUGCUGACCGCGGUGGGGGUUGUGCGACAACACUCAAUUUAGUGCGGUCCGCGGUGAGGAAGAAUCUGCAGGUUCACUGGUCUGACUUCGGAAGCCUAUAUCUUUUGAUAUACAAGGAAUUGGGAGAUGACUCAUAAACAAAAUUUGUCGCCCUUCGUGUUUAGUUUCCAUAAAGAUAAAGAAAUUACAAUUUGGACAUCGGUAGAGAAAGUUAAGGCCAAAUUACUAAAGCAUGUCACUGCAAUCAACAUUGUGAGCUCCGCGGCCGCACUCCUUUAUGUGCGGUCCGCAUAGGGGGUCUGAGAGGGGUAUAUGUAAACGGGAUUUUCAGUUAUUUUUCAUUUUUCAAAACCCCAAAAACAUAACAAGCGAUUUUUCAAACAACCUUUCUUCUCCAAAACAUUAGUAAGUGAUUUCUAACUCAUUUUCUAUACUCCUUAACUUCUUUUUACAAGAUUUCAUCCUAGAAUCAAUGGUUUUCAUGGGGGAAAUUGGGUGUUUUGGGUAGAACCUAGGUUUUUCAAAUUUUGUGGGGAUUUGGACCUCGAUUUGAGGUCCGAUUUUAAAACAAAUUAUAGAUUUGGGUUCGUGGGGGAAUGGAUAAUCGAAUUUUGGUUCGAACCUCGGGUUUUGGCCAUGGGUCUGGGGGCGAUUUUUUGACUUUUUGGGGAAAAUUUUAGAAAACUUAUUUUCAUGCAUUAGAAUUGAUACGAGCAAAUUGGCGGUGGAAUCAAGAGGUAAAGUGAUAGUUGAGACUUGAAUUUUGUUCGUGGCAUCGAGGUAAGUGUUUGGUCUAACCUUAGUUUGAGGGAUUAGGAGUCGAGUCCUAUGUGCUAUGUGAUAUUUGUUGAGUAUGACGUAUAGGCAUGGUGACGAGUGUCUAUGCGUUGGUGUCAAACAUGCCCGUGAGUCUUGUAUUAUGAUUAUUAUAACGCCGUUUGUAUUAUUCAUGCCUUUUGUGAUGAUUUCUAUUGUUGAGUAGAGUUUGUGGAGGAAAUAGAGGUAUUUGAGUAUUUAAGAGCAUUGGCUCAAGUGGUACAAUGAAUUUAUGGAAGUAUAAUUGGCAUUUGAACUUCAUAGAGAAUUGGCUCAAGUCGUAAAGUGAGUUGUGAAUUAAAAGUGAAAAAGAGAAGAGAAUUAUUAUAUUGUUUCCCUUGUCAGGAUAUUGUUGCUUUUAAUGUUAUCUCCCUUGCCGGGAUGUUGAUGCUUUUGAUAUUGUUCCCUUGCCGGAAUUUGAUUGUUGAACUAUUGUUCCCUUGCCCGUAUUUCGUUUACUUAUUUCCUUGCCUUAUUAUUUGUGAUUAUUGUUUGGGUGAGGAAGAGUGUUAAAGCACGAAGAGUGAUGCCGUGUAUAAUUUUGUGAGGAAGAGUGUUAAAGCACGAAGGGUGAUGCCGUGUAUAAUUUUGGUAGAAAGAGUGUAAAGCACGAAGGGUUAUUCCAUACCGCACGACGUACAAUUCCGGGCCGAUUAUAUUGAUUAUAUGGUGAGGACGAGAGUAAAAGCACGAAGGGUGAUGCCGUGCAAUUUAUAUUGAUUCUUUUGGUGAGGACAAAAGUAAAAGCACGAAGGGUGAUGUCGUGCACUUGUUUGAUCCCUGAUUCUUUGCUGAUAGUUGAGAUAGGGUGUUUCUUGUAUUUAACCGUUGUCUUUUUAUUCUUAAUUGAUGUUUCCCCGUAGCAUGUUACCCCCUCCCAUACUUAAUUGUACAUUACUGUUCUUCUUUUUCACUGUAUAUGAUUUAACUGCACAGGUUUAUUUGGUUGUCUGAUCCUAGCCUCGUCACUACUUCACCGAGGUUAGGCUAGGCACUUACCAGCAUAUGAAGUCGGUUGUGCUGAUACUACAUUCUGCACUGUGUGCAGAUCCCGGAGCAGCAACAUUCAAACCUUAGCUUGGGUGGCUGCCUUUAGUCCAGUUGGAGAUUCCGAGGUAGUCCUGCAGCGUCCGCAGGCCCUGGCGUCUCCCUCUAUCCCUUCAUCCUUUUUCAUAUACUUAUUUUAGAAACAAUGUAUUAGCUAUAUUUCAGACCUUGUUUGUAGUAAAUUCUAGACUGUCUGUGAAGUGUGACACCAGUUCUGGGUGAAUUUUGCUUAUGAUGUUGUAUUGGAUAUUUAUUCAAAUGUUUUAUCGUUUAUUCCGC
rnacentral:lncRNA from 1 species